AUGGCCUGGGCCUUGAUUCUCCUCACAGUUCUCAGUUACUGGUCAGGUGCCAGUUCACAACCAACCUUGACUCAGUCUCCCUCACAGUCGGUGUCUCCUGGAGAAACAGUAAAACUCUCCUGCACUGUCAGCAGUGACAAAAGCUAUAUCUGCUGGGUUCAACAGAGAUCUGGACAGAGUCCCCGUCACAUACAGUGUGCAGGUUAUAGCAGGGGAGAUGGGGUCCCGGACAGGUUCACAGCAUCUGAUUCUGGGAAUGUCGGCUCUUUAACCAUCACAAACACUCAGCCUGGAGAUGAGGCCAAUUAUUACUGUGGCAUGUGGUAUGAUAGUAGUGCGUGGAAGUGUCACAGUGGUAAAACCUAA